rnacentral:rRNA from 1 species
GACAGAGGGUGCAAACGUUGUUCGGAAUUACUGGGCGUAAAGCGCAUGUAGGCGGUUCGUAAAGUCAGAUGUGAAAGCCCUGGGCUUAACCCAGGAAGUGCAUUUGAAACUCACGAACUUGAGUCCCGGAGAGGAAGGCGGAAUUCCAGGUGUAGCGGUGAAAUGCGUAGAUAUCUGGAGGAACACCGGUGGCGAAGGCGGCAUCCUGGACCGGUAUUGACGCCGAGGCGCGAAAGCCAGGGGAGCAAACGGG